AUACAAAGCACUUGGGGAUCUUGUGAAAAUGCAGAUUCCAAUUCAGUAGGUCAGGGCUGGGCCCCAGAGUCUGCAUUUCUAACAAGCUCCCAGGAGACUCUGAU
rnacentral:pre_miRNA from 1 species